rnacentral:rRNA from 1 species
GUGGGGAAUCUUGCGCAAUGGGCGAAAGCCUGACGCAGCAACGCCGCGUGCGGGAUGACGGCCUUCGUGGUUGUAAACCGCUUUCAGCAGGGACGAAAUUGACGGUACCUGCAGAAGAAGCCCCGGCUAACUACGUGCCAGCAGCCGCGGUAAUACGUAGGGGGCAAGCGUUGUCCGGAAUCAUUGGGCGUAAAGAGCUCGUAGGCGGUUCAGUAAGUCGGGUGUGAAAGCUCCGAGCUCAACUCGGAGAGGCCACUCGAUACUGCUGUGACUAGAAUCCAGUAGGGGAGUGUGGAAUUCCUGGUGUAGCGGUGAAAUGCGCAGAUAUCAGGAGGAACACCAGCGGCGAAGGCGGCACUCUGGGCUGGUAUUGACGCUGAGGAGCGAAAGUGUGGGUAGCAAACAGGAUUAGAUACCCUGGUAGUCC